AAAACCCUUGUGCAGUUAUGUUAGCACAUGGAGAAAAGUGGGAGUUUUCAUGGAAAACAUGGAAUUGUCUGGGUGACCCCAAACUUCAGAACGCUAGUGUAGAUAUGUAGACUGUAUUUCCUAAUUAAACUCAUCUUGAAGGGCACAUGAAAAACCUCCAAAGGUUCUUGAGGUGUUUCAGUUGAAGCCAAACUGUCCUAUAAACAUGUAGGAGGUCACCAGAAUCAGCAGGAUUCAUCCCUAAGUGACAUUCAGCAGUAAUUCAUCCUGUUGUUGAGAUAUUUCCACCAAACCUGGGGCUGACCAGCCUACUAAUCGUCCAUACAGUGAGCCAGCACGACUAAAAUACCUCAUCUACUGCAGAUUACCCCUCAGUCUUUCCCUUGGACCCCUUUGGCAUCCCAAACCCCAGAUUGAGAACCGCUGCCCCUGGACGUCCACCCAAACCUUCCUCUCUUCAACCCCUUUGAAGGACUCGUCCUCAACAGCAGAAAGCUUAUAGCAGAGCAGAAACACAAGAAGCAACUUCAACAUCAGGAAUCAAUGUCUCGUCUGAACAACAGCGGAAAACAACAACAGAAACAGUGACCAGUGAAGGUGUCGCCUGAGACCGGCAGUGGACAAACCAGACGUGGAGAGGAGGGAUGGGGAUGAAGGGAGAGUUGAGUCUCUUGAGGGGAAGUUCCUUGUGUUGUGAUGAUUCUCUCCUCCUCCUCCUCCUCCUGACAGCAUCAGAACAAUCGGAACUGUCUCAGAAACAUGCUAACAAACAGAGCUUGUAAGUGUAUGUUGAUGCUAAUCGAACCAUGAGAAGAAGUUUCCCAUAAGUCUUUUUUUGUAGUUUUUUUCUCUUUUUUGCCCCUUUGGACAGAAUAAAAUGAGGCAGUUUGCAAUAGUGUGGUUUCCCAGUCAGUCCAGCUGUUUGUGGCUCUGAGAGCAUCGCCCCCUGGUGGACAAAACGGCGCCCUCUACAGGGAUUUUUGGCACAGCAGGAGACUCACUGGACAUGGGACAACACUGACGGAGCUGAACUAGACUUCCACUGGACAACUAGCUGUUUUUCACAGCUGGUUGUUGGUCGGGUUACUUUAAAAGUACAACAGCGUCGUGUUUGUCACCACAGAGGUCCUUUCAUGCACAAACCGGCUCCGUUGAUUCAACUACGGGAAGCAGCCGGACAUCCCGGAGCCAAACAGCGCUGGUUCUGUAGACGGCAGGACGCCGUGUCCCACCAGGGGGCAGUCGGACUCACCAGGGCCUGAACAGGAAGUGAUGCCACUGCCAGGUGAUGGAACACAUUCUGGUGGACUCGGCUGGUCUGUGGGGUCUCCUUCCCCAGACUGGGGACAGAUUGUCAAAGUGCUCGUUGUGGAGGAGCUGAGAGGUUAGCAGCAGGUUUGAGGUUUCACUUCUAGAACCAGGAGAUAGGGUAAGUGCUGUGUUUAGUCGACAGGUGGAGCUCACUUGCUUUGGUUCGGCAAGUUUGUCUGAAUCGUAUUAAUCACAGCAGCCUGUGAAAAAUAGGUCAAAACUUCUAAAUGAUCUGACAAUGCUCCUGCUUCGUGCUCAUUAGUCUAAGUGUGAGUGUGUCAUUCAUGGCAUCUCUACGCUGGAGGCACACCGUCAGAGUUCAGUCAUUAAAUAGUUCUGGAGGAAUCAGAGCUCUGAGACCGUCUCAUUCAUGGUCCUCGUCCACAGAAACAGAAACAGGAAUGGAUGAAGUAGAAAAGGAGCCUGGAAGGCCUUGAGACAGACAUACAGAAAGAGUUCUUGGGCCCAACGAGAGGCUCGCGUUCAGUUCAGUCGUUUCUGUUUUCUCUUUUUACAAACUCCACAAAACAUCGUCUGGAUUUGAUUGUGCAAACCAAUCCCUG
ensembl:lncRNA